rnacentral:sRNA from 1 species
AAUGUUUUAGGAUUAAUUGACUGAAAACCUAUUGUCAAUUGUUCUGAAUGCUAGUUCAAGAGUAGUAACUAGAACUUGAUAUUAGAUAAUAAGUAUGCCCAUCAUAAGUACUUGCUAUUUGAUCCAUCAUAGAAGAGCCUAGGCAUUUAAGAAAGAACAUGUAGGCUCAUAGAAGGGCUCUGGUUUAGAUACUAGGUGAACUUAUCAAACUUGAUAAUAAUGCAUGCUUUAGUAUAGGAUUUCUCGGCUUCUCCGGUUAUCUUAACUCUAAGUAUAGAGAAUUUUGCGGAACACCACCGGUUACUCUAAAAUGAUAGUUUGAGUUCGAGAAUGGUUCGAUAACAACCUAGCUAUUUCUAGAUCUACUAUCAUCUAUUUCCUGAGAAUACCCUAAGCUUGACGUUUUUAAUAUCUUGUUUUCACAACUCACAAUCGAUUGUUAUUGCUAAGUUUUUGUUUUUCUUUAUUCUCUUUACUAGUUUACUUAGCUUAAUUCGAUUAGCCAUUAGUCUAUUGCAUGAUCCAAGA